rnacentral:rRNA from 1 species
AGCAAGGAUGAAAAUCGGACUUAGUGAUCCGGUGGUUCUGCGUGGAAGGGCCAUCGCUCAACGGAUAAAAGCUACCCUGGGGAUAACAGGCUUAUCUCCCCCAAGAGUCCACAUCGACGGGGAGGUUUGGCACCUCGAUGUCGGCUCAUCACAUCCUGGGGCUGUAGUAGGUCCCAAGGGUUGGGCUGUUCGCCCAUUAAAGUGGUACGCGAGCUGGGUUCAGAACGUCGUGAGACAGUUCGGUCCCUAUCCGUCGCAGGCGUAGGAAAUUUGAGAAGACCUGUCCUUAGUACGAGAGGACCGGGAUGGACGUACCUCUGGUGUACCAGUUGUCCUGCCAAGGGCAUGGCUGGGUAGCUAUGUACGGAAUGGAUAAGCGCUGAAAGCAUCUAAGCGCGAAGCCAACUUCAAGAUAAGAUUUCCCACCGCAAGGGUAAGACCCCAGAAAGACUAUCUGGUUGAUAGGUCGAAGGUGUAAGUGCAGCAAUGUAUUUAGCUUAUCGAUACUAAUAGGUCGAGGACUUGACCAAU